rnacentral:rRNA from 1 species
GUUGCCAGCAGGCCCUUGUGGUGCUGGGGACUCACGGGAGACCGCCGGGGUCAACUCGGAGGAAGGUGGGGACGACGUCAAGUCAUCAUGCCCCUUAUGUCUUGGGCUGCACACGUGCUACAAUGGCCGGUACAAUGAGCUGCGAUACCGUGAGGUGGAGCGAAUCUCAAAAAGCCGGUCUCAGUUCGGAUUGGGGUCUGCAACUCGACCCCAUGAAGUCGGAGUCGCUAGUAAUCGCAGAUCAGCAUUGCUGCGGUGAAUACGUUCCCGGGCCUUGUACACACCGCCCGUCACGUCACGAAAGUCGGUAACACCCGAAGCCGGUGGCCCAACCCCUUGUGGGAGGGAGCUGUCGAAGGUGGGACUGGCGAUUGGGACGAAGUCGUAACAAGGUAGCCGUACCGGAAGGUGCGGCUGGAUCACCUCCUUU